rnacentral:rRNA from 1 species
UACGUAGGUGGCAAGCGUUGUCCGGAUUUACUGGGCGUAAAGGGAGCGUAGGCGGACUUUUAAGUGAGGUGUGAAAUACCCGGGCUCAACUUGGGUGCUGCAUUUCAAACUGGAAGUCUAGAGUGCAGGAGAGGAGAAUGGAAUUCCUAGUGUAGCGGUGAAAUGCGUAGAGAUUAGGAAGAACACCAGUGGCGAAGGUGAUUCUCUGGACUGUAACUGACGCUGAGGCUCGAAAGCGUGGGGAGCAAACAGGAUUAGAUACCCUGGUA